UACGGAGGUCCCAAGCGUUGUUCGGAAUUACUGGGCGUAAAGGGAGCGCAGGCGGACAGGUUAGUCUAAAGUGGAAGCCCGGGGCUCAACCUCGGAAGGUCUUUGGAUACUGCCUGUCUUGAGUUUGUCAGAGGAAAGCGGAAUUCAGGGUGUAGCGGUGAAAUGCUUAGAUAUCCUGAGGAACACCGAUGGCGAAAGCAGCUUUCUGGGACAUGACUGACGCUGAGGCUCGAAAGCGUGGGUAGCAAACGGGAUUAGAUACCCCGGUAGUCCACGCCGUAAACGUUGUGCACUAGGUGCAGGAGGUAUCGACCCCUUCUGUGCCGCAGCUAACGCAUUAAGUGCACCGCCUGGGGAGUACGGUCGCAAGACUGAA
rnacentral:rRNA from 1 species